GAUGAACGCUGGCGGCGUGCCUAAUACAUGCAAGUCGAGCGAACAGACGAGGAGCUUGCUCCUCUGACGUUAGCGGCGGAAGGGAGAGUAACACAUUGAUAACCUACCUAUGAGACUGGGAUAACUACGGGAAACCAGUACUAAUACCGGCCAAUAUAUUGAACCGCAUGGGUCGAUAGUGAAUGACGGAUUUGCUGUCACUUAUAGAUGCAUCCGCGCCGCAUUAGCUAGUUGGUAAGUUAACGGCUUACCAAGGCAACUAAGCGUAGACGACCUGAGAGGGGGAUCGGCCACACGGGAGCGUGGACGCGGACCAUGCUACUGCGAGAGGCAGCAGUAUGGAAUCGGACGCAAUAGUCGAAAACAUGACGGAGCAACGCCGAGUGAGAGAUGAAGGUGUCCGGUUCGUGAAACUCUGUUAUGAGGGAAGAACAAAUGUGUAAGUAGCUAUGCACGUCUUGACGGUACCUAAUCAGAAAGCCACGGCUAACUACGUG
rnacentral:rRNA from 1 species